rnacentral:rRNA from 1 species
GAUGAACGCUGGCGGCGUGCCUAAUACAUGCCAGUCGAGCGAACAGAUAAGGAGCUUGCUCCUUUGACGUUAGCGGCGGACGGGUGAGUAACACGUGGGUAACCUACCUAUAAGACUGGGAUAACUUCGGGAAACCGGAGCUAAUACCGGAUAACAUUUGGAACCGCAUGGUUCUAAAGUGAAAGAUGGUUUUGCUAUCACUUAUAGAUGGACCCGCGCCGUAUUAGCUAGUUGGUAAGGUCACGGCUUACCAAGGCGACGAUACGUAUCCGACCUGAGAGGGGGAUCGGCCACACUGGAACUGAGACACGGUCCAGACUCCUACGGGAGGCAGCAGUAGGGAAUCUUCCGCAAUGGGCGAAAGCCUGACGGAGCAACGCCGCGUGAGUGAUGAAGGGUUUCGGCUCGUAAAACUCUGUUAUUAGGGAAGAACAAAUGUGUAAGUAACUGUGCACGUCUUGACGGUACCUAAUCAGAAAGCCACGGCUAACUACGUG